AUUGAACGCUGGCGGCAGGCCUAACACAUGCAAGUCGAACGAGUGGCGGACGGGUGAGUAAUGUCUGGGGAACUGCCUGAUGGAGGGGGAUAACUACUGGAAACGGUAGCUAAUACCGCAUACCAUCGGAUGUGCCCAGAUGGGAUUAGCUAGUUGGUGGGGUAAAGGCUCACCAAGGCGACGAUCCCUAGCUGGUCUGAGAGGAGGAUCAGCCACACUGGGACUGAGACACGGCCCAGACUCCUACGGGAGGCAGCAGUGGGUAAUAUUGCACAAUGGGCGCAAGCCUGAUGCAGCCAUGCCGCGUGUAUGAAGAAGGCCUUAGGGUUGUAAAGUACUUUCAGCGGGGAGGCGUUACCCGCAGAAGAAGCACCGGCUAACUCCGUGCCAGCAGCCGCGGUAAUUC
rnacentral:rRNA from 1 species